UACGAAGGGGGCUAGCGUUGCUCGGAAUCACUGGGCGUAAAGCGCACGUAGGCGGAUCUUUAAGUCAGGGGUGAAAUCCUGGAGCUCAACUCCAGAACUGCCUUUGAUACUGAGGAUCUUGAGUCCGGGAGAGGUGAGUGGAACUCCGAGUGUAGAGGUGAAAUUCGUAGAUAUUCGGAAGAACACCAGUGGCGAAGGCGGGUCUCUGGGCCGAUACUGACGCUGAGGAGCGAAAGCGUGGGGAGCGAACAGG
rnacentral:rRNA from 1 species